AUUCCUUCCUUACUAUUAUUAACUAUCCCUCUCUCUGUUUUCAAAUCAAGUGAUGGGAUAUACUUCUCCAUUUUUCCUUUUGGCUUUUACUACCCAGUUCCAACUAACAAGGAAAAUCGAGGGACAACUGAUCUUUAUAUUAUCAGGUGGAUGCAAUCAAAACCAAGAUGCAAGUUGCAAGUCUGGAACGACCGACUACCAUUCACUGUUGCAAGUGAUUUCUAUUGUUAAGAAGCUAUGAGCGAAAAUUUUGUGUCUCAAGCAAUACUUGGUACUCGAGCAUCAGAGAUCAUAAAGCUUGCUCCUUUUUGUCUCCAUUUAUCAGUCGAGGGGG